rnacentral:SRP_RNA from 1 species
GCUGGGCGUGGUGGCGCACACCUGUAAUCCCAAAUACUAAGGAGGCUGAGGCAGGAGAAUUGCUUGAACCCAGGAGGCAGAGGUUGCAGUGAGCUGAGAUCACACCACUGCACUCCAGCCUGGGUGACAGAGUGAGACUCUGUCUCAA